GUAGAGAUGGGGUUUUACCAUGCUGCCCAGGCUGGUCUCGAACUCCUGACCUCAAGUGACCUGUCCACCUUGGCCUCCUAAAGUGCUGGGAUUACAGGUGUGAGCCACCGCGCCUGGCCCAUAUGCUAAAUUUAUUAGAACCCCCAAGCCUGGCCAAAGGCCUCACUCCUAAGAUUCUGGUGGCAAUGCCAGCAUACACUGGGCUCAGAGGAGGUCUUCAGAUACCAGGAGGAUUACUCUAAUUCAACGCAGAAAUGUUGUGAAACUGCUUUAUAUUCUGUCUAGCACAAGCAAGUGGGGGUUACUAUUUUUGUAAUCAUUAUAAGAGCCUUCAACUAUAUAAUUUUGGGAAGUGGUGAUAAAAAACAGAGUACUUCUCCCUUGAAUUCUACCAGCCCCAAACUUUCAUUAACAUCCAAUUAAUUUUCUUAAAAAAGUUCAGCAUGAAACUCUCUGCAGCACUUUGGCACAGUAGUAUCUAUGCAUUUGGAAUGACACAGUAAUUUCUUAUCCUAGGGAAAAAAAAUUACUCUGUCAAAAUGAAUCUUUUAGCCUAAGAUGAACUGGUUCCAUUUCUCAUUUCUCUUUUCUCAAGGUUAUUGGGUUGCUGAACUCCCAUGAACCAAAAAGAAAACACUGAAUGGUAUCCAAACCAGCCUGGAAAGGACAGCGAGAAAAGCCAGAACCAAGGCUGACCAGCCUGAAUGCUGGUAAAUGUUAUCAAGAAUCUGGAGCAGGAGCCUCAGUCUCCUAUCAAAAGGAGAAGAACCUGAAGAAAACACUUCUCUUCCUUCUCUCUGCCUAGGGGCAGUGACCUUGGAUUCAACCACCAUCAUCCCUUCCAGACACCAGAGGGGGGAGUCCCACAAGGCAGAAGGUGCCCCUGUGACCCAUCCACUUCUCUUCCAUGUUCUUUACCUCCUUGCUCAGGAAGCCAUAAAGUUGAGCUGAGUGGAAGGUGAAUUUCAUUGCAAAGUUUACACAGGCUCUGCUGACAGGUUCAUGAAAACACUACUGAAUAUGUUACAUACCACCAAGGCUCACAGCACAUCCUGUGUUGGAAGUGAUACUUUUCCAUUACCAGUAAACCUCCUUUUGUCCUAGGAGCUCACUGAACAGCUAAAAUCAGGUGAUAUUUUUAUGUGGAACAUGCAACGUAUUAAGUCCUUUUGCUCAGUGACCCAAAAAGGAACUAAACGGUACCCAGACUAGAAAUCAAUGUCAAAUUAUUCAAAUAAAUUCCACUUAAAGAAUGGUGGUUUGGAAAGCGCUCAGUCAGAAAGAAUUCUCCCAAGAUUAGUUUACUGUGAAGUAGAAGGGAAGAACGUUUUAACUUUGGUUGGAAAUCUGAUGACAUUACAUAGAAGGUGAUGAAACAUCCUCUAAGAAACGGUUCUGAUCCAUUGUAUGGCACCCCCCUCUCACAUUCCCCCAUUUUACCCACUAAAGAAGUUCUUUUACAAGAGGCUAAGGAAACCAAGCAAUAUAAGAUCUAAUCAAAACUGAGUGCUGGAAAUGUGUGGGGAGAAAUCCAUAAUUAAACUGAGCAAUUAACUCCAGAAAGUUAACUGGGGCCAACUCUGACACUGCUAUAAAGUUAUAAAAUCUCCAGCAUCUCAUUUCUUUGUCCCUCUACCCAAUUUCCCCUCAAAGGUAAGCCUCUCUUUCUCUCUCCUCUCUUCUUCAUAUUUAAUAAAACUGUUUGCCAGAAAGGAAAGAAUCUUAGGUUAGUCAUUUACACUUUAGUGCGAAUUAAAGCCAGUGUGUCAACUCUCACAGGAAUGAGAAUUUCAAGCCAUACUUCUAAUUGUGGAAUGGCUGUCAUUGAAUUCUUUUAAGGGUAUUUCAUGGAACAACUAAAUAUAAGGAAGAGGAGAGAAACUGCCCAAGUCUGCCUAUGCCUAAAGUCAGCCUUAAGUUCAAUCUUGAGGGUGACAGCUUUCAUCUGCCACUCCCAAUUGAAAGUGAAUUCAGAUUAAUUCCUAGAUGUUUGUUUGUUGUUUUUUUUUUUUUUUUUUUUUUUUUUUUUUUUUUUUUGGGACGGAGUCUCGCUCUGUCGCCCAGGCUGGAGUGCAGUGGCGGGAUCUCGG
rnacentral:lncRNA from 1 species